AAGGGUGGUUAUAGCAUUAGGGCUCACCUCUUCCCAUUUCGAACAGAGUAGUUAAACCUAAUAGCGCAGAUGGUACUGCCAAUUGGUGGGAGAGUAUGUCGCCGCCUUCU
rnacentral:rRNA from 1 species